UACGGAGGUGCAAGCGUUGUCCGGAAUCGACUGGGACGUAAAGGGCGCGUAGGCGGCUCGGUAAGGUAGGGGGUGAAAUCCUGCGGCUCAACCGCAGGGCUGCCUUCUAAACUGUCGAGCUCGAGCACGGUAGAGGCAGAUGGAAUUCCCGGUGUAGCGGUGGAAUGCGUAGAGAUCGGGAAGAACAUCAGUGGCGAAGGCGGUCUGCUGGGCCGUUGCUGACGCUGAGGCGCGACAGCGUGGGGAGCAAACAGG
rnacentral:rRNA from 1 species